rnacentral:tRNA from 1 species
GCUUUCGUGGCCCAGCAGGUUAGCGCGAUCCGCUGUUAAUCGAAAGGUUGGUGGUUCAAGACCACCCGGGAGCC